rnacentral:rRNA from 1 species
UCCCUAGUAGCGGCGAGCGAGCGGGAAGAGCUCAAAUUUAUAAUCUGGCACCUUCGGUGUCCGAGUUGUAAUCUCUAGAAGUGUUUUCCGCGUUGGACCGCACACAAGUCUGUUGGAAUACAGCGGCAUAGUGGUGAAACCCCCGUAUAUGGUGCGGACGCCCAGCGCUUUGUGAUACACUUUCAAUGAGUCGAGUUGUUUGGGAAUGCAGCUCAAAUUGGGUGGUAAAUUCCAUCUAAAGCUAAAUAUUGGCGAGAGACCGAUAGCGAACAAGUACCGUGAGGGAAAGAUGAAAAGCACUUUGGAAAGAGAGUUAACAGUACGUGAAAUUGUUGGAAGGGAAACGCUUGAAGUCAGACUUGCUUGCCGGAGCUUGCUUCGGUUUGCAGGCCAGCAUCAGUUUUCCGGGGUGGAUAAUGACGGUUUGAAGGUAGCAGUCUCGGCUGUGUUAUAGCUUUCCGUUGGAUACAUCCUGGGGGACUGAGGAACGCAGCGUGCUUUUUGCGAAAGACUCGUCUUUUUCACGCUUAGGAUGCUGGUGGAAUGGCUUUAAACGACCCGUCUUGAACACGGACCAC